rnacentral:misc_RNA from 1 species
UGAAAUGUACAUUUCACCUUUUGCAACUUGCUGCUAACACCACCUGCCUUUCCCCUCUUUCCUCCUCCUGGUAAAAACCCCCUCACAAAAUGCCAAAACAAGAAAAAGAAAAUUACAAAAUGUUACAAAGCUCCGAUUAUCCUCUGUUUCUUAAUACUAUCCAACGAUAACAGUUCCAUUUCCCUCAUUCUCUUCCCAUUACACCCACCAGCGCCCUCUGUCACGCCGCUGUUUCCAGGUACUUUAAAAAUGUUGAC